GCAGGUUCCUCUGUAUUCUGGUUACCAAUUUUAUAGUUUAAGUCUUACUGAGGCUUAAUACUCAAGGAAAAAGACAGCUGAGUUCUUACUUCAGAUUUCAGCUAGUUCCAGUUUAGGAAGAGCAUAGCUCAAUGACAAUGGAAUGGGGUCCAUUUUUCUCCUGGUGAGGGGGAAGAAGAAAGCGUUGAAGACAAAUCUCAGAAUUAACAGUUAUGUCCAUCAGCACAUUUUAACUACCAGGAAUACCACAAGAUUGCAGUCUUCCCUCCCCCAAGUACCUCAGAAGUUUGCCACCAGACAGCCUGGCACGGGUUUCAUGCAGCACUUUCCCAUUGCCCCAGUAAGUCACAGAGCAUCGCCAGGACACGAUGCUCCCAGCUACAUGCUUGUGCUCCAGAAAUGACAGUGCU